GAUGAACGCUGGCGGCGUGCCUAAUACAUGCAAGUCGAGCGAACAGACGAGGAGCUUGCUCCUCUGACGUUAGCGGCGGACGGGUGAGUAACACGUGGAUAACCUACCUAUAAGACUGGGAUAACUUCGGGAAACCGGAGCUAAUACCGGAUAAUAUAUUGAACCGCAUGGUUCAAUAGUGAAAGACGGUUUUGCUGUCACUUAUAGAUGGAUCCGCGCCGCAUUAGCCAGUUGGUAAGGUAACGGCUUACCAAGGCAACGAUGCGUAGCCUACCUGAGAUGGUGUUCGGCCACACUGGAACUGAGACGCGGUCCAUACUCCUACGGGAGGCAGCGGUAGGGAUUCUUCCGCAAUGGGCGAAAGCCUGACGGAGCAACGCCGCGUGAGUGAUGAAGGUCUUCUGAUCGUAAAACUCUGUUAUUAGGGAAGUACAAAUGUGUAAGUAACUAUGCACGUCUUUACGGUACCUAAUCAGAAAGCCACGGCUAACUACGUG
rnacentral:rRNA from 1 species